AAUAAAUAAUUAAAAUCAAGGAAUGGAUUUUGACACACAUGAAUUGUGUAGCAAUAAUUCGAUGUUUUUUGAUAAUUUUUACCCCGGACGCUGACGCUAUUGUGAAUAAUAAAUAUUCAUAUACCUACUAAGUGGUUUCUAAAGUUUCUAGUAUUGCUAAACCAAAUUUCCACUUGCAUUUCAUGGUUUACAAAUUACAAUUUAAUGAACAAACAAUAAUAAUUCAUUAUACUUUAUCAAUAACUAGUUGAUCCUGUGCACUUCGUUUCCCGUUAAAAAUCACAACUCUAUAUGAUUCAAAGUUUGUUCAAUUCGUUGUUUAAUAUUCGGUAUAUGGUGUUCAAAACUUUAAUUUUUUCAUCGAUCAUCUUGAAUCACAAAAUACUUAUGCAAGCACCUCUUUAAAAUGCGAAUUUUGGAAAGAUGCUUUCUUAGUCCACGCCUAUACAUGAUAGUAAGAAAGUACGGUGAAAAUUGCAUGCCUCAAGCUAUAAUUGCUUAGAUUUACGUUGAUCAGUCAGUGAGUCAGUCAGUCAACACGUUCAAUUAUAUUAUAUUAUAGCCAUGGCAGCCAUCCCGCCCGGCGUUGCCCGUGAGACUCGAUUGUGAUUAACGAGCAGUAUAUUAAGCUAUAGAUUGCGGUGGACUGCGAUGGAUUGCGGACUCCAAAUGUUCCCGGGACAACGGUCGAAAAAUUAGCGUUAGGAAUACCAUUUAUACUACGUUAAAUGGUUUUGACCAAAUACAAUAUUAUACAGCUCGUGCCACUGUUGUAUUUUUGUCAUCCAGAUUUCCUUCCAUGGAUAUAGAUACUAUGGUUGCAUGACGGCCCAUAUUGGAUCACAGAGCUGAGCGGUGCCGAAUGUUCUUAUCAAUUCUGACAAAAAGUACGAAUGGAUCAUAGCAGGAAAAAUGUCUCACUGUCCAUGACGUCAUUACGCCGUAUUGCCGUUUAUCAUUGUUAAUAACAGUAGACAAGCAUAUUAU